CACGAACGCUGGCGGCAGGCUUAACACAUGCAAGUCGAGCGCCCCGCAAGGGGAGCGGCAGACGGGUGAGUAACGCGUGGGAAUCUACCCAUCUCUACGGAAUAACGCAUGGAAACGUGUGCUAAUACCGUAUAUGUCCUUCGGGAGAAAGAUUUAUCGGCGAUGGAUGAGCCCGCGCUGGUUUAGCUAGUUGGUGGUGUAAAGCCCUACCAAGUCGACGAUCCAUAGCUGGUCUGAGAGGUUGAUCAGCCACGCUGGGACUGAGACACGGCCCAGACUCCUACGGGAGGCAGCAGUGGAGAAUAUUGGACAAUUGGCGCAAGCCUGAUCCAGCCAUGCCGCGUGAGUGAUGAAGGCCCUAGGGUUGUAAAGCUCUUUCACCGGUGAAGAUAAUGACGGUAACCGGAGAAGAAGCCCCGGCUAACUUCGUGCCAGCAGCCGCGGUAAAAC
rnacentral:rRNA from 1 species